rnacentral:lncRNA from 1 species
AUGCUGCGCACGGCUGGAACGGCGUGCAUGGUGCUGCACGUGGUGCUGUGCCCGGCCAGGAUGCAUGCACAGGACUGUGCACGGCCAGAACACACGCACGGUGCUGUGCAAGGUGCUGUGCAUGGCCAGGAUAGCUUUCCCGGUGCUGUGCACAGCUGGGAGAGCAUGCAAGGGCUGUGCAUGGCGAGAACACACGCAUGGUGCUGUGCGUGGCCAGGAGAGCAUGCACGGGGCUGUGCACGGCCAGAACACACGCACGGUGCUGUGCAAGGUGCUGUGCAUGGCCAGGAUAGCUUUCCCGGUGCUGUGCACAGCUGGGAGAGCAUGCAAGGGCUGUGCAUGGCGAGAACACACGCAUGGUGCUGUGCGUGGCCAGGAGAGCAUGCACGGGGCUGUGCACGGCCAGAACACACGCACGGUGCUGUGCAAGGUGCUGUGCAUGGCCAGGAUAGCUUUCCCGGUGCUGUGCACAGCUGGGAGAGCAUGCAAGGGCUGUGCAUGGCGAGAACACACGCAUGGUGCUGUGCGUGGCCAGGAGAGCAUGCACGGGGCUGUGCACGGCCAGAACACACGCACGGUGCUGUGCAAGGUGCUGUGCAUGGCCAGGAUAGCUUUCCCGGUGCUGUGCACAGCUGGGAGAGCAUGCAAGGGCUGUGCAUGGCGAGAACACACGCAUGGUGCUGUGCGUGGCCAGGAGAGCAUGCACGGGGCUGUGCACGGCCAGAACACACGCACGGUGCUGUGCAAGGUGCUGUGCAUGGCCAGGAUAGCUUUCCCGGUGCUGUGCACAGCUGGGAGAGCAUGCAAGGGCUGUGCAUGGCGAGAACACACGCAUGGUGCUGUGCGUGGCCAGGAGAGCAUGCACGGGGCUGUGCACGGCCAGAACACACGCACGGUGCUGUGCAAGGUGCUGUGCAUGGCCAGGAUAGCUUUCCCGGUGCUGUGCACAGCUGGGAGAGCAUGCAAGGGCUGUGCAUGGCGAGAACACACGCAUGGUGCUGUGCGUGGCCAGGAGAGCAUGCACGGGGCUGUGCACGGCCAGAACACACGCACGGUGCUGUGCAAGGUGCUGUGCAUGGCCAGGAUAGCUUUCCCGGUGCUGUGCACAGCUGGGAGAGCAUGCAAGGGCUGUGCAUGGCGAGAACACACGCAUGGUGCUGUGCGUGGCCAGGAGAGCAUGCACGGGGCUGUGCACGGCCAGAACACACGCACGGUGCUGUGCAAGGUGCUGUGCAUGGCCAGGAUAGCUUUCCCGGUGCUGUGCACAGCUGGGAGAGCAUGCAAGGGAGACUGAAGCGAGAAGUCUUCUCUCUUCCCUCCCUGCCCUGCAGAGAGGAGCCAUUGUGCUGCGCACAGCUGCUCUCUUAA